UCUCUCCCUUUCCCGCACUCGUCUUCAGAAGAGAGAGAGAGAGAGAGAAGAUGGGACUCGUUUCUUGUGAAUCCGCAUCUGGGUUUUCUUCGACCGCGCCAAUUGCCCAAGAAACCCCGCAAAACGAGGCCUUUCCGUGCGAUUCGGCUUCGGACUUCGAUCCCCAGCACGAGGAGUGGCCGUUCCUGACCUCGCCCACAGACGCCGACGCGAAGGCGGUCGGCGGCGGCGGCGCCGAGAAGAAGGAGAAGCCGCUGCAGAAGAAGAGGAGCCAGGUGCUGCUCGAAGGGUACGUGGAGGCGGCGGACGAGGACGACCUGGUGAGGACGAAGAGCUUGACUGACGAGGACCUCGUUGAGCUCAAAGGGUGUCUGGAUCUUGGCUUUGGGUUCAGCUACGACGAGAUUCCCGAGCUCUGCAACACCUUGCCGGCCCUCGAGCUGUGUUACUCGAUGAGCCAGAAGUUCCAGCUCGACGACCACCAGAAGUCGCCGGAUAGAUCCGCCCCGCCGUCGUCCGCGGCGGAGUCCCCUCCAGCCGCGGCUGCCGGCCCCAUCGCCAGCUGGAAGAUAUCUAGCCCUGGUGAUCAUCCAGAAGAUGUUAAAGCAAGACUCAAGUUUUGGGCUCAGACUGUGGCUUGCACAGUCAGAUUAUGCAGCUGAAAAUCUCACAGGGAGACAUAUGCGGCUUCAUUCGUCAAGGAGAGAUGCAUCACUUAGCAAUUCUGUCUUUGAUGGGGUUGAGUGGCCUGAAUCUGCGAGACCACGCCAUAUUCUUUUCUGUUUCCGCAAAGUCUUGGGUUGCAGGAACCGGUAACCUCCCUGCAAUUUUGGAGCCGGGUGGAUAUCCACCAUCCAUUGAGUUGGCCGGCUUUGAAGAAGUUGAAGAAGAGGGGACUGAAUGUCUCAGAGGCGAGAAUCCUUCUUUAUUACAAGUUUUCUCCGACUAACAGCGGACCUCUGUGUAGGCCGAGAUGAUGAAGAACACCUAUUUGGGCGAUAACGUGGCGCCGAGUGAAAACGGAGCGAAUGGAGGGAGUGAGAAGUAGAAAGAUGCUGCUUCUGCAACACCUCCUAAUAGGUCUCCACAUUGUCCAUCUCUCUGACUUUGUUUCAUUGGUUCUCUCGUCCUUUCUGUCGUAUGAAUCUGGGCCAAUUGCUAACAACGUGCGUGACGACCCCAUCCCUGAUGGUUUUACUUGUACUUGGGAAAUGCUUCCCCUGAAAAUAGUCAAUUGUAGAUCUAGUUGAGAAACGUGUGGCUAUCCAGUUAUUCAUUGUGACGGUUCGCAGUAUUAUGCUGCCGCUAUGGCCUCCUAGCGAGUUAUCUGUAUCUGUAGCAACCAAGUGCCGGUUCCAUCAACAUUUUUCUGGAACUGGAGGACAUAUCUUUUAAGGUCAGUUGUAAUCUUGGAAUAUAAUUGCAGAAGCAUCCUAGUUGGCCAGCUUUUGUUUCCGUGUCCCCUUGUUGGUCUAAAAGAGAGGAAGAAGACUGGAGUCGUGCUGAGAAUCUGGAAGUUCCUGGUCUGUUCUAUGACUCAUAUUUCUUCCGUUCGAGCAGUCCAUACAACCAUUCGGCGAUUUUUUUUUCUCGUCUUUGGACUCCUAGCAGUCACCUUUGUUAUUUUGUCUGGCAUGCUCUCCCUAAGCUUGAAGUAACUGAAGAUAACUGCAUCGGCUUUUCGUGUGUUCUCUCUUUUGUUGGUGAAUUACAAGUACUUGGUACUCAGGCAGGGCGAUGACACGAACU